GGGCAUGUAGCGUAGGGGUUAUCGCGUUCGCUUUGCAUGCGUAUCUUGCUUGCGAAAGGUCUCCGGUUCAAAUCCGGACUUGUCCA
rnacentral:tRNA from 3 species